CGAAAGCCUGACGGAGCAACGCCGCGUGAGGGAUGAAGGCCUUUGGGCUGUAAACCUCUUUUCUCAAGGAAGAAGAUCUGACGGUACUUGAGGAAUAAGCCACGGCUAAUUCCGUGCCAGCAGCCGCGGUAAUACGGGAGUGGCAAGCGUUAUCCGGAAUUAUUGGGCGUAAAGCGUCCGCAGGCGGCCGUUUAAGUCUGUUGUUAAAUCGUGGAGCUCAACUCCAUCACGGCAAUGGAAACUGUUCGGCUUGAGUGUGGUAGGGGCAGAGGGAAUUUCCGGUGUAGCGGUGAAAUGCGUAGAUAUCGGGAAGAACACCAGUGGCGAAAGCGCUCUGCUAGGCCAUUACUGACGCUCAUGGACGAAAGCCAGGGGAGCGAAAGGGAUUAGAUACCCCUGUAGUCCUGGCCGUAAACGAUGAACACUAGAUGUUGGGGGAAUCGACCCCCUCGGUGUCGUAGCUAACGCGUUAAGUGUUCCGCCUGGGGAGUACGCACGCAAGUGUGAAACUCAAAGGAAUUGACGGGGGCCCGCACAAGCGGUGGAGUAUGUGGUUUAAUUCGAUGCAACGCGAAGAACCUUACUAAGGCUUGACAUCCUGCGAAUCUCCAAGAAAUUGGAGAGUGCCUUCGGGAACGCGGUGACAGGUGGUGCAUGGCUGUCGUCAGCUCGUGUCGUGAGAUGUUGGGUUAAGUCCCGCAACGAGCGCAACCCACGUUUUUAGUUGCCAGCAUUCAGUUGGGCACUCUAGAAAGACUGCCGGUGACAAACCGGAGGAAGGUGUGGACGACGUCAAGUCAUCAUGCCCCUUACGCCUUGGGCUACACACGUACUACAAUGCUGCGGACAAAGAGUAGCGAUCUUGCAAAAGUUAGCUAAUCUCGUAAACCGUGGCUCAGUUCAGAUCGUAGGCUGCAACUCGCCUACGUGAAGUAGGAAUCGCUAGUAAUCGCAGGUCAGCAUACUGCGGUGAAUACGUUCCCGGGCCUUGUACACACCGCCCGUCACACCAUGGAAGUUGGCCAUGCCCGAAGUCGUUACUCUAACCUUUUGGAAGAGGGCGCCGAAGGCAGGGCUAAUGACUGGGGUGAAGUCGUAACAAGGUAGCCGUAGCGGAAGCUGCGGCUGGAUCACCUCCUAA
rnacentral:rRNA from 1 species